CCUACGGGGGCUGCAGUGGGGAAUAUUGGACAAUGGGCGAAAGCCUGAUCCAGCCAUGCCGCGUGUGUGAAGAAGGCCUUCGGGUUGUAAAGCACUUUCAGUGGGGAAGAAAGCCUUGGGGCUAAUACCCUCGAGGAAGGACAUCACCCACAGAAGAAGCACCGGCUAACUCCGUGCCAGCAGCCGCGGUAAUACGGAGGGUGCGAGCGUUAAUCGGAAUUACUGGGCGUAAAGCGCGCGUAGGCGGUCUGAUAAGCCGGUUGUGAAAGCCCCGGGCUCAACCUGGGAACGGCAUCCGGAACUGUCAGGCUAGAGUGCAGGAGAGGAAGGUAGAAUUCCCGGUGUAGCGGUGAAAUGCGUAGAGAUCGGGAGGAAUACCAGUGGCGAAGGCGGCCUUCUGGACUGACACUGACGCUGAGGUGCGAAAGCGUGGGUAGCAAACAGGAUUAGAUACCCUUGUAGUC
rnacentral:rRNA from 1 species